ensembl:lncRNA
GACAGUGGUGCCCACCCCAUAAUGUAUGACAUGCCAUCAUCCACCCAUCUGUCUGAUUGUCUCCCUCUUUCUUCAUCUUGUUUAUUUUUAGGUAAACGCCAAUGGGUGGGAUUCGCAUGCUGAUGGAAUGACGGUUGUCAGGCGGAUUAAAACUAAAGAUGAACCAUGUGGGAGUUUCCUCCAAAGAGCCUGUGGAUAAAUCUCAUUAGCAUACCUGCUCUGUGGACGGCUGUAAAUUUAAUGAAUGACGUGCUGGAGAGGAUAAGUGAGGUGAAUCAGCCGCUGUCAGACCUUCGGAGGACGGAUGGAAGAGGACUUCUGGAUGCUGGUGGGCUGGGUUCAUCUCCGAACUGAGAGGAUAUGAAGCAGUGGAGCUGGUUUUGUUCCAGUCAGGUCAGGUCCCAGGUGUGUCGCCCCCUCAUCUGUCUACUCCUCUUAUCCUCCUCCAUUCCACCAAAGGCCUCAUUUUCUGCAUGAUUAGGCCUCCACCUGUCCUGCUCUUGGCCCUGGCCCUCGCCUAGGCUCCAACACACCGUCAAUUAACACCAGCAAGUUUUUAGCUGAGUCACACCAAAAUGAAACCGUAAAGGGCAAAUGAAAUGAAAAUAUGAAGUUGAAAGACUGGUAGAAGAGUAAUGUAUUCAUUUAGUUAUACAUGUUCCUUUUGUGUGGCUUUAUUGAACCCUUUUCUUUAGUAGCAAACAUGGUGGCUUUCUAAACAGAAAUUGUGUUGUUUUCAAGUAAACAUGCAUUUGGUAAUUAUUUUUUUCAGUUCCAUCUCUGAUUAAUUUGAUAUUGAAACCUGUUCAUGUAAUGCAUAAUAACCCUCAUAUUGCCAAAAUAUCAUUAAGGCUUCUUUUGGCCCGCAACCAAAUUACUAGAGAAUGAAAGGACCUGCGCCAGGCCUUUAAUUUCACCCCUGUAAAAUGAACCAAUGAGCCAAAUAAUCUGGCUGGCCCUCAUUGUUGCAAAUGUGACACCUGUUGUAAGUGGCACGACUUAGAAGUGCCAAACACUUUUGUAGAUUCGCUUAGUCUUAUCAUUCUGAUUUGUUGCAGUAAACAAGCAACCAGAUAAAGGAGAACAACAUUACCUUUUUUUUAAGCAGAGACAGAUAGUCUUGUCAAAGUUAUACUUGUUUGUCAGUGAAGCUAAGAGCACUAGUGUAGAGACUGCAAUUUUAUCGAUAUGUCAUAUUUAAAAUAUUCUAAGUCUUUAAAAGUUUUGUAUAAGGGAGAGAGCAAAAUGUGAGUUGAGUGCAAAACUUGAGUAUCAUUUGCAUUAAAAAAUGAUGCAUUUUCUUGUAUGACACUUGAGGACCAGGCAUUGUCAUUUCCAGUAGUCACUUUAAUUUUUUGUUAUAUGACUUCAAAAGACAACAAAUAUAGUGCAUAAGUUGUAUGGACCAAUUUUAUAGUGUUUUAUUUUUCUUCUUUUUGGAGUUUGACAGAAAAACAUUCGGCCUAAGAAGUCCUUUUGUAUUCAGCGGAUGAAAGAAAGUCAGAUUUGGGACAACAUGAGGGUGAGUAAAUAAUGACAGAAUUUUGUGAACUAGUCCAAAAUAAAGGUUGAAGAUGGGGUUAGAGAAAGUUUGGG